GUACCGCCGACUGGAGCCUCCUCCACGUAGCCGUUGGUCGCGGCUGUGAUCUCGCCGACCACGUGUGUCCGCCGAGGGGAGGAGGGAGCACUACUCUCACGCUCCCUCCCCCACCCGUUCUCAUACUUACUGCUGUCAGCAUCCUCCAGGGGGUUCCCCAGCCGUUUAGACUGCGGUCUGGGAACCCCCCUGUGUUGAUGAGCUCCUGUAGGUGUCCCUGGUAUCUGUAGGUGGGCAUAAGAGGUCUAUCCCACCAGGGGCAUACUUUUGAUUUUUUCAUAUGUUAUUUAUGGUUAUGACUUGCUCCAUUUACUGUGGUGUACACUUUUUCUGUGCUUUCUGUCCCCUACUGGGUAAGGGGUUACCCCAGCUUCAGACCUUGCUGGGUUGCACAUAUGGAGGGGAUCUUUUUCUCACUGCAUGCAUGCCUUCUUUAACCCCUUCUACACUAGUUACCUCCUGUAAGUGACCCUUACACUUACAGAGAGUCUGGCCUGCCUUGUCUGUGCCCCUAUGCCUGGCCUGUUUUAUCUGUGCCCUUAACAUUGGCCUGCUUUAUCUGUGCCCUUAUGACUGGCCUGUUGUGUCUGUGCCCAAAAGAUUGGCCUGCUUUGUCUGUGCCCCUAUGACUGGCCUGCUUUGUCUGUGCCCAUUAGAUUGGCCUGCUUUGUCUGUGCCCCUAUGACUGGCCUGCUUUGUCUGUGCCCAUAAGAUUGGCCUGCUUUGUGUGUGCCCCUAUGACUGGCCUGCUUUGUCUGUGCCCAUAAGAUUGACGCACUUCAACUGUGCCAAUAUAUUUGGCCUAUGCUGCCUGUGUCCUCCAUCUGACCUGCCCUGACAGUGCCUUUCCUAUGCUGGCACUUACUCACUAGAACCCUUACGGCCGCUGGCCUAGUAGAUUAUACAGGAGUUUCUACUGGGGUCAGCUAUAACACUUGUGUCCGUAUACAUACUCCCGUAUAACCGGGUGACACGUAUCAUUUCUACCCCCAGGGUCACACUAAGGUCAGGAUGGACGCUCCUACCCAAGAGAGAUCCUACAGGCUAUGAUCAACGCGGCCGUUGCCGCUUCGGUGGAGAAAGCGCUCUCGCGCGCAAUGCCUAGACCGUCCCAAGAUAGGGAUGUAUCAGAAACUCAGCGCGUUCUGAUCAGUGGCGGAUCCAGGGGGGGGGGGCAACGGGGCAAUUGCCCCCCCCCCCGAGAAAUCCGCCGGUCUCCCUCUCCCUCCCCUGCCAGCAUGGCAGGCACUGUGUUGAGAGCCGGCAGGGGAGGGAGGGAGUGAGAGAGGACCCGGAGCUCAGUCUGCAGCUCCUCCGGGUCCUCCUCUCGUGAGAUUUGAAGCGUUGCCGCGGUUACCACGGCAACGCUCCAAAUCUCGCGAGAGCUAGCCCGGGAGCGCGGGCUAGAGUUCACUCUCCCCACUGGAACCACCAAUGAAUCCCCCACCGGACCACCAGGGAUCGAAGUAUGUCCCCCCUCCCCCCCAGUAAAGGUAAGAAGGGAGGGGGGACAUAUUUCGGAUAAAUAAUUAAAUAAUAA